UACGGAGGGAGCUAGCGUUGUUCGGAAUUACUGGGCGUAAAGCGCACGUAGGCGGCUUUUUAAGUCAGGGGUGAAAUCCCGGGGCUCAACCCCGGAACUGCCCUUGAAACUGGAGAGCUAGAAUCUUGGAGAGGCGAGUGGAAUUCCGAGUGUAGAGGUGAAAUUCGUAGAUAUUCGGAAGAACACCGGUGGCGAAGGCGGCUCUCUGGACCGAGACUGACGCUGAGGCGCGAAAGCGUGGGGAGCAAACAGG
rnacentral:rRNA from 1 species